CCUACGGGUGGCAGCAGUGAGGAAUAUUGGUCAAUGUGCGGGAGCCUGAACCAGCCAAGCCGCGUGAGGGAAGAAGGUACAGCGUAUCGUAAACCUCUUUUGUCAGGGAACAAAGGCGGGGACUAGUCCCCGGAUGAGGGUACCUGAAGAAAAAGCAUCGGCUAACUCCGUGCCAGCAGCCGCGGUAAUACGGAGGAUGCGAGCGUAGUCCGGUUUUAUGGGGUUUAAAGGGUGCGCAGGCGGACUGUUCAUUCAGCGGUAAAAUCCCGGGGCUCAACCCCGGCUGGCCGGUGAAACUGGCGGGCAGGAGUUGGAGAGAAGUACGCGGAAGGCGCGGUGUAGCGGUGAAAUGCUGAGAUAUCGCGCAGAACCCCGAUUGCGAAGGAAGCGUACCGGCUCCACACUGACGCUGAGGCACGAAAGCGUGGGUAUCGAACAGGAUGAGAUACCCCGGGAGUC
rnacentral:rRNA from 1 species